GUUUUCUGUCUCAUUCUGGAAAGGAUCAUUUUGGGAGUGGAAGAGAUGUUGUUGGAAGCUAGAGCACAAGGACACUGGGGAGUUGCCGGAGCAGUUCCUCUCACUUUCCGCCGCUCUCUGUGUUCAGUCCCCACUCGCGUGUCGUUCCACGGUGCUGCUCCUCCGCAAACCCGGCGAUUCCAACCGUUGGCUGUUGUUAAGCGAAGUCCUAAACGUCUCAAAUACUCGGCUCCUCGCUUUACUAAGGAAGAUGGAUUGCUGUAUGUUCAAGUUGAUCCAAUAGGAUCAGACUCGUGGAAGUUGGAUCCAGUUGUUGAACUUCUUAAAGGAGGAGCUGUUGGAGUGAUUCCCACUGACACUUUGUACGCAAUGGUUUGUGACCUGAGCAGUCAUUCAGCCAUUGAACGUCUUCGCAGAAUAAAAGAGAUAGAACCUUCAAAGCCCCUUAGUAUCAUAUGUCGAUCCUUCCGGGACAUAGAUACAUAUACAACAGGAUUUCCUAGUGGUAAUGGCCAAGGUCUUACAGACAUUUUUCGAGCAGUCAAGCAUUUCCUGCCCGGUCCUUACACUUUCAUCUUAACUGCUAGCAAACAACUACCAAAACAAUGCACGAGGUAUGGGACUGCUGCAUCCAGAUACAUUUCAAGGAAAAAUGUUGGUGUUCGUAUACCUGAUGAUCCUGUCUGUCAAGCAAUCUUAGAAAAGAUGGAUGGACCUCUUAUUUCCACAAGUGUCAAGUCACCAGAGGAAAACGAGUGGAUACUGGAUCCUGUCAUUAUAGCUGAUGUAUAUGGUCCAGAGGGACUUGAUUUUGUUGUUGAUGCUGGUCUUCGAGUGGCUGAUCCAUCUACUGUAGUAGAUAUGACUGCAAGUUCUCCUCGUCUUAUACGGCAGGGAAAGGUACAACAAUAUGCACAAGACAAGUGAAUUUUGUUACCUCAAAUUGCUGACGGAAAUCUGGUCUGGAGAAUUGCAGAGGGUCCUAAGCAGCCUUGGAUGAUAGCAGAAGACGACGAUUCUGCUCGGGAUGGAAAUUGAAUAGAUCCCAUUAUUGACGCAGUUUAAGUAAGACUGCUGCUUAAAAUCCCACUACCUAAAGCCAGAGCUCUUGUACAGCACACAGAUAAAGAUAGUGAAUCCCUUUCAAUCUGGAUCAUCGUCCAUCAGUCUUUCAUUAGUGUACAUUGGUUGUAAAUACUCAAUGUGGUAGAUCACGACUCAUUCAUUCCCCGGUCAUUUCUAUUUUCUAUUGUGUUUUCGCCUCGUCGUGCCAGAACACUCUGCCUCUACAUUAUUUCUCGUUGUUAUCUAGUGAAGAGGAAACCGCUGUUUAUACGU